rnacentral:rRNA from 1 species
UGCAAGUCGGACGGAUCUCCGUUUGAAGGGCAACUGGAAGAUGGAGGUUAGUGGCGGACGGGUGAGUAACACGUAGUUAACCUACCCUUGAGCGGGGGACAACCCAGGGAAACUUGGGCUAAUACCGCAUAAGACCACGGACUGGGAUGUUUGUGGGAAAAGCAGCGAUGCGCUUGGGGAUGGGACUGCGGCCUAUCAGGUAGUUGGCGGGGUAAAGGCCCACCAAGCCUACGACGGGUAGCCGGUCUGAGAGGACGAACGGCCACACUGGGACUGAGACACGGCCCAGACUCCUACGGGAGGCAGCAGUGGGGAAUCUUGCACAAUGGGCGAAAGCCUGAUGCAGCGACGCCGCGUGGAGGAUGAAGGCCUUCGGGUUGUAAACUCCUUUUGUAGGGGACAAUAAUGAUGGUAGCGGGGUGAAUAAGCCACGGCUAACUCUGUGCCAGCAGCCGCGGUAAGACAGAGGUGGCGAGCGUUGUUCGGAAUUACUGGGCUUAAAGGGCGCGUAGGCGGUGGGGUAAGUCUGAGGUGGAAUGCCACAGCCCAACUGUGGAACUGCCUUGGAAACUGCUUCACUUGAGUUAGACAGGGGAAGGCGGAAUUCCUGGUGUAGCGGUGAAAUGCGUAGAUAUCAGGAGGAAGGCCAGUGGUGAAGACGGCCUUCUGGGUCUUAACUGACGCUGAGGCGCGAAAGCGU